AAAAAAAAAAAAAGGAAGAUUUCAAUGUCACCAAACGUAAUAUUUUCUAGAUAAGGAAGAUGUCCUCAGAAACAAAAAAAGAAAGCUGUCAUGAAUGGGGACUUGUCCAGAUUUCUCUCCUCUUUUUAUCGGUCUCCGAGUCCGACCAUCGGUUAUUACUAUACGCGCGCGUUGGACCUUCCUCUACUCGAUCCAGCUAUGACCGACAGUUCUGGAUGUCGUCGUCGAUUUGCUAUUGCAUCUAGUUAUUUUUGCCUUUGCAUUUCGUUCUCUGCUAGCUUCUUCGUUUUGCUUCGGUUGACGACAAUCCCGGCGGAGCUCUGGUAUGCUGCUCGGCGCUUAGAUUCUCUUCAAAGGUUUGAUUUUUAGGGUUUCUUUGCUAAAGAGGUUGCGAUUAAGGUGUUACUACUCGAUUCCAAUUGUAUUCUCUCAAGCGAUGGGGGAUCCCCAGGAAAACAGAUAUCUAGACUUUCUUGCAGCUUACUCUACUAUUAACCAGUCUUACAGUCUAGCAAAGUCUUAUGGUCCAGCAAGGUCCCACCAAAGUCUUAUGGUCCUGCACUGCUCAGGUAUAUAUUGGGGAGGAAGAGUCGUGAUAUUUAAAUUUUGAUGGUCUUGCACUAUUCAAAUUUCUAUGUGCAGUUAUGUGAUACAUAACAUAUACGGAGCUCUUCUAUGAACUUGUGUAAAUGCCCAAUUGCUGCUGCAACCUUUCAAUUUGAUUAGUUACUUGUCAUCUGAGCUUCAGUCUUUGUUUGUAAAUCUGUCUUAUUGUUUUAGCUUUUAGUGUAAAUGAGAAAUGUAUGAUGUAAGUAAAUAGUUUUGGUGAACAUUUUGAAAAUACAACCAAUAAUAUUUUUUUUAAUAGACA